rnacentral:rRNA from 1 species
CCUACGGGGCGCAGCAGUGGGGAAUAUUGGACAAUGGGGGAAACCCUGAUCCAGCGACGCCGCGUGAGUGAAGAAGUAUUUCGGUACGUAAAGCUCUAUCAGCAGGAAAGAAAAUGACGGUACCUGAUUAAGAAGCCCCGGCUAACUACGUGCCAGCAGCCGCGGUAAUACGUAGGGGGCAAGCGUUAUCCGGAUUUACUGGGUGUAAAGGGAGCGUAGACGGCAGCACAAGCCUGGAGUGAAAUGCCGGGGCUUAACCCCGGAACUGCUUUGGAAACUGUGCAGCUAGCGUGCAGGAGAGGUAA